CAGAAGCUGCUAAGCAAACCGCGACGAUACCCUGGAACCUACCGUAAUCCACAGUCGAGGUUCUUCACUCGUUCACGUGGGUUCAUGUAGCCACAAUGGCUUUCUUUAACUAACAAUCCGUGGUUUCAGUAUCACAUGCCAUGAAUUCAGUUGGGUUCGGCACUGGGCUAGCUGCUGCAUGGUUCCGGUGGCCAAAACCCUGGCCGGAAGGAUGAGGAUCUCCGUAGCAAUCAAUCCAGCACAAUAACGUGGAGCUGGGGUCACAGAACACAGCCUGCAAAAUUAGAGCAAGUGAGACCACAAACUCAUUUGCUUCACUCAAACUUGAUGUUAUGUCAUGAGAAACCAAUGCAAUCAUAAUGUGCUAGAACUGCUCCACAGCAACAACUGAACUCUAUGGAGAGGUGGGAGUUACAUUGCAGUGAAUCUUGCAUUUAUGUUAAAGAUUUUUUCACAAUUGUGUGCAUUAUUUGCACACUGCAAUUUUUCAAAAGAUGGACGAGAAAGUUGCAGUUUU